rnacentral:rRNA from 1 species
GACGAACGCUGGCGGCUUGCUUAACACAUGCAAGUCGAACGGAAAGGCCCUGCUUUUGUGGGGUGCUCGAGUGGCGAACGGGUGAGUAACACGUGAGUAACCUGCCCUUGACUUUGGGAUAACUUCAGGAAACUGGGGCUAAUACCGGAUAGGAGCUCCUGCUGCAUGGUGGGGGUUGGAAAGUUUCGGCGGUUGGGGAUGGACUCGCGGCUUAUCAGCUUGUUGGUGGGGUAGUGGCUUACCAAGGCUUUGACGGGUAGCCGGCCUGAGAGGGUGACCGGCCACAUUGGGACUGAGAUACGGCCCAGACUCCUACGGGAGGCAACAGUGGGGAAUAUUGCACAAUGGGCGGAAGCCUGAUGCAGCAACGCCGCGUGCGGGAUGACGGCCUUCGGGUUGUAAACCGCUUUCGCCUGUGACGAAGCGUGAGUGACGGUAAUGGGUAAAGAAGCACCGGCUAACUACGU